rnacentral:rRNA from 1 species
AUGCAGAAGGAUGCCGCCGAAAAGAAUGGAACGCUACUUCGCUCUGCUGGAUGCGUCGGAACCCAUAUAAGAAGCUCGCUCUUUACCCGAUCAUUCAAACAUUUUGUGGGCGGCGCGCCUGCUCCAUUGUUGCGUAGCAAUAGAAGCCUGCUCAUGCAGCUUCGGUGGCGCUUUUUCGCCUUCUCUUCACUUUGGACAGGAGCGCUAAUGGACACGGGGAGGGAGCAGGCGAAGCGUGUCGUUCGUAAUGGAAAGAAAGACACCACUACUUCGGCUCUUUGUUGGACCGCCGGCGCGAACACGGUGGUCUCUGACCAGGACCAGGAACCAAUUCGAAUUUGGAUCUUGACAUGUCGAUUGUUUUCCUAA